rnacentral:lncRNA from 1 species
CCGCGGAGGGGCGUAGGGUGUAAACAGGCGACGCGCUGGGGGAGGUGCGGCCUUGCUGCGUCCACGUCUCGGGCAUGCUCGAGGCGGGCCAGGGCGGUAGCGCCGCCAGCUCAGAGCCCACCUGAGGUAACUCCUGCGGCCUCUAGGAUCGGAGUCCCCCACGCCGCGCGCAGCCGCCGCCGCUGGCCGCCAAUAAGGGCGGCCGAGCCCCCGGCCCGGGCAGGGGGUGUGGCUGCCGGCAGCGCGUCGGCUACAGGUGGGCUGGGCUGGGCUGGGCUGGGCUGGGCUGGGUGGGGGCGGCCGCCAAGGACCCAUCCCUGCGCUGCGGGCCCGGCGUGGAGCCCGCGGAGAGGCAGCGCGACUCCAGGCAGUGGGUCUCUCUGCCCCGGUGCUCGCGUCUGCCCCUGGGGCCGGGCCGAGCGGAACCAGGAAUCGCAGAAACGGUCAGCGCCCAGGGCUCUAGGCCGGCCGCCCCGGGUGCCAGGUGAAUUCCUUUCCCUGACCGGCUGUGAGACGUUGGCCCGUCAGCCGUCGUCUUUGGCCUGAGUGUGCACAUCUGUAAAAUGGAAGCUCGGACUAGUGAUCCGUGAGGACCUUCCACGUCUGACGUGUGAUCUCGAGAGACCUGCGUACAUUCGGGGUGCCAGAAGGAAAGCAUAGGUAAGAAUUUCUCUGGAAUAUACAUCUAGGAUUGGAGUUGUUGUUUGUCAGAGAUGGGGUCUUGCUGUGUUGCCCAGACUGGUCUCAAACUCCUGGCCUCAAGUGAUCCUUCUGCCUCAGCUUCCCAAAGUACUGGGAUUACAGCUUGAAAUCCAUGGCCCAAAAUGACUCUACCAGUGGAGACUCUCUUCUGUGAAGAAGACGACCAGAUAAGAGGUUGGGAUGAGCAUGCCACUGCAUCAGAUCUCUGCCAUUCCAUCCCAGGAUGCCAUCUCUGCUAGAGUCUACAGAAGUAAGACC